GCCAGUGUGGCUCAGUGGUUACAGUCCUGGGCUAUGACCUGUGAGACCAGGGUUCGAAUCUCUCCUCAGCUAUGACG